AAUGGGUCAGCGACUUAUAUUCUGUAGCAAGGUUAACCGAAUAGGGGAGCCGAAGGGAAACCGAGUCUUAACUGGGCGUUAAGUUGCAGGGUAUAGACCCGAAACCCGGUGAUCUAGCCAUGGGCAGGUUGAAGGUUGGGUAACACUAACUGGAGGACCGAACCGACUAAUGUUGAAAAAUUAGCGGAUGACUUGUGGCUGGGGGUGAAAGGCCAAUCAAACCGGGAGAUAGCUGGUUCUCCCCGAAAGCUAUUUAGGUAGCGCCUCGUGAAUUCAUCUCCGGGGGUAGAGCACUGUUUCGGCAAGGGGGUCAUCCCGACUUACCAACCCGAUGCAAACUGCGAAUACCGGAGAAUGUUAUCACGGGAGACACACGGCGGGUGCUAACGUCCGUCGUGAAGAGGGAAACAACCCAGACCGCCAGCUAAGGUCCCAAAGUCAUGGUUAAGUGGGAAACGAUGUGGGAAGGCCCAGACAGCCAGGAUGUUGGCUUAGAAGCAGCCAUCAUUUAAAGAAAGCGUAAUAGCUCACUGGUCGAGUCGGCCUGCGCGGAAGAUG
rnacentral:rRNA from 1 species